rnacentral:rRNA from 1 species
AUUGAACGCUGGCGGCAGGCCUAACACAUGCAAGUCGAACGAGUGGCGGACGGGUGAGUAAUGUCUGGGAAACUGCCCGAUGGAGGGGGAUAACUACUGGAAACGGUAGCUAAUACCGCAUACCAUCGGAUGUGCCCAGAUGGGAUUAGCUAGUAGGUGGGGUACCGGCUCACCUAGGCGACGAUCCCUAGCUGGUCUGAGAGGAUGACCAGCCACAAUGGAACUGAGACACGGUCCAGAUGCCUACGGGAGGAAGCAGUGGGGAAUAUUGCACAAUGGGCGCAAGCAUGAUGUAGCCAUGCCGCGUGUAUGAAGAAGGCCUUCGGGCUGUAAAGUAUUUGUAGCGAGGAGGCGUUACUCGCAGAAGAAGCACCGGCCAACUGUGUGCCAGCAGCCGCGGUAAUAC